GUUACUGUCGUUCCAAUUGAAGUGCUGCUCAAAUAUCGAUUCAAUACAUUACCUCGGGCUGACCAAUUCAUUUCAUGAAGUUCCUCGAGAUAUUCAUACACUUCCUAGUAUAAUUGUAAACUUCCUGUUGAAUAAUUUGAAACCAUAAAUAGAAAGGAAGUGACCAGAAAUGAUCAUAUACUUGGAAUUGGCUCUUUCACAGGAAGUGUAUGAAUAUCUUGA
rnacentral:lncRNA from 1 species